GACGAACGCUGGCGGCGUGCUUAACACAUGCAAGUCGAGCGGUAAGGCCCUUCGGGGUACACGAGCGGCGAACGGGUGAGUAACACGUGGGUGACCUGCCCUCAGCUCUGGGAUAAGCCUGGGAAACCGGGUCUAAUACCGGAUAGGACCAUGCGAUGCAUGUUGUGUGGUGGAAAGUUUUUCGGCUGGGGAUGGGCCCGCGGCCUAUCAGCUUGUUGGUGGGGUGAUGGCCUACCAAGGCGACGACGGGUAGCCGGCCUGAGAGGGUGACCGGCCACACUGGGACUGAGACACGGCCCAGACUCCUACGGGAGGCAGCAGUGGGGAAUAUUGCACAAUGGGCGAAAGCCUGAUGCAGCAACGCCGCGUGAGGGACGACGGCCUUCGGGUUGUAAAGCUCUUUUAGCAGGGAAGAUAAUGACGGUACCUGCAGAAAAAGCCCCGGCUAACUUCGUGCCAGCCGCCGCGGUAAUAC
rnacentral:rRNA from 1 species